rnacentral:rRNA from 1 species
UACGUAGGGUGCGAGCGUUGUCCGGAAUUACUGGGCGUAAAGGGCGCGUAGGCGGCUCUUCAAGUCAGCCGUGAAAUCUCCAGGCUUAACCUGGAAGGGUCGGUUGAUACUGUCGAGCUAGAGUGUGGAAGAGGCAACUGGAAUUCCGUGUGUAGCGGUGAAAUGCGUAGAUAUACGGAGGAACACCUGCGGCGAAGGCGGGUUGCUGGGCCAACACUGACGCUGAGGCGCGAAAGCUAGGGUAGCAAACGGG